rnacentral:rRNA from 1 species
UACAGAGGGUGCAAGCGUUAAUCGGAAUUACUGGGCGUAAAGCGUGCGUAGACGGUUACAUAAGUCGGGUGUGAAAGCCCCGGGCUCAACCCUGGGGAAUUGCAUUCGAGACUGCGUAGCUAGGGUGCGGAAGAGGGAAGCGGAAUUUCCGGUGUAGCGGUGAAAUGCGUAGAUAUCGGAAGGAACACCAGUGGCGAAAGCGGCUUCCUGGUCCAGCACCGACGUUCAGGCACGAAAGCGUGGGGAGCAAACAGG